rnacentral:rRNA from 1 species
AUUGAACGCUGGCGGCAGGCUUAACACAUGCAAGUCGAGCGGGGUGAUGGUGCUUGCACUAUCACUUAGCGGCGGACGGGUGAGUAAUGCUUAGGAAUCUGCCUAUUAGUGGGGGACAACAUCUCGAAAGGGAUGCUAAUACCGCAUACGUCCUACGGGAGAAAGCAGGGGAUCACUUGUGACCUUGCGCUAAUAGAUGAGCCUAAGUCGGAUUAGCUAGUUGGUGGGGUAAAGGCCUACCAAGGCGACGAUCUGUAGCGGGUCUGAGAGGAUGAUCCGCCACACAGGGACUGAGUCACGGCCCAGACUCCUACGGGAGGCAGCAGUGGGGAAUAUUGGACAAUUGGGGGAACGCUGAUCCAGCCAUGCCGCGUGUGUGAAGAAGGCCUUAUGGUUGUAAAGCACUUUAAGCGAGGAGGAGGCUCUUUUGGUUAAUACCCAAGAUGAGUGGACGUUACUCACAGAAUAAGCACCGGCUAACUCUGUGCCAGCAGCCGCCGUA